CACUAUGCUUAGCCCUAAACUUAGAUAGUUAUCCUAAACAAAACUAUCCGCCAGAGAACUACUAGCAAUAGCUUAAAACUCAAAGGACUUGGCGGUGCUUUACAUCCCUCUAGAGGAGCCUGUUCUAUAAUCGAUAAACCCCGAUAUACCUCACCAUCUCUUGCUAAUUCAGCCUAUAUACCGCCAUCUUCAGCAAACCCUAAAAAGGAAGAAAAGUAAGCACAAGUAUCUUAACAUAAAAAAGUUAGGUCAAGGUGUAGCUCAUGAGAUGGGAAGCAAUGGGCUACAUUUUCUAAAAUUAGAACACCCACGAAGAUCCUUACGAAACUAAGUAUUAAAGGAGGAUUUAGUAGUAAAUUUGAGAAUAGAGAGCUCAAUUGAAUCGGGCCAUGAAGCACGC
rnacentral:rRNA from 1 species